rnacentral:rRNA from 1 species
UUCAGAGGUCUCGAGCGUUGUUCGGAUUUACUGGGCGUAAAGGGAGCGUAGGCGGCCGGGUGUGUCGAAUGUGAAAGCCCACAACUCAACUGUGGAAUGGCAUUCGAAACUACCUGGCUAGAGUACUGGAGAGGAGAGCGGAAUUCUUGGUGUAGCGGUGAAAUGCGUAGGUAUCGGGAGGAACACCGGUGGCGAAGGCGGCUUUCUGGCCAGUUACUGACGCUCAUGCGCGAAAGCUGGGGUAGCGAACCGGAUUAGAUACCCCUGUAGU